rnacentral:lncRNA from 1 species
UGGCUGAGUUCAAGGCAGCCUCAAGCGAUACCCAAAGCCCUGAAUUCAACGGACUCCUAAUCGUCCUUUGUUCUCCAUGCCUCACUCUCAUCCUAGAAUUGGACCCAUUUGAAGGCCCAGAAGAAGAAACAACCAAUCUAGAACCACCAAAAUCAUGGGCAACAGAGGAAUCAGCAGCAGAAGUAGAAGCUUGAGAAUUGGGGGUUAUGUCAAUCACAUGGUGAGUUGGUCGCGCCAUUAACAAAGGGUCAGUGUCGGAAGAAGAAGAAGAAGAACCUUCAGGACACAGUUGAGGUGAAAACAAAACAUCCAUCAACGUUUACAAUUCCAUUUUCUCUAUCAAGUGAAGAUUGAAUUUGAAAUUGAAAACCCCAGAAGCAGCAACCACCUGGGUUCUGCAAAAGAAGCAAAAUUUCACUGCAAUCUUGUUGUUACCCUUUGAAACUAAAUUAGGGUUAAGAAAUUCGAAAACCAGAAAUUGCAAAAUUGAUUGGUGUAAUUGAUAGAUUUUGGAAUGGAUGAAUGAGAAUUGAGGAGGAUUAAGAGGGUGAUUACCUGAGUAUGAGGUGAUUAAUUAGGGAAUGGAAGAGGAUUAUAGUUAAUUAGGGUUUGCUUGUUCUUGUUGAACGAGAGAGAGUUGAGUUGAAUUGAAUUGAUGGAAGGAACACGUUGACUGAAUAAUGAACAUAUAAAAACGACGGUGGCACUCAAAGAAUCUAGAAUGAAACGACAGGGAAUAGAGGAAAACGGUGUCUGAAGGAAAGUGGGGCCCGGUUUCUGUGACGGAGAAGGCAAAGAGAGGAACUAAUGAAUGAAUGGUGUUUGUUAGACUCAGUCACCCACCAUUCAUAAGCCCCUCAACACAUAAAUCUUCUUUCUUU